GGCCUCGUAGCCCAGUGGUUAUGGCGCUCCCCACACAUGCCGCUUUAGAUUGAUGUCGUAUGGGAGUAACACACGUUCGACUUGCGUCGAGGCCA